UUACGGUCAAAUCACGCUUGAAAACGCCGGGUUCUCGUUCGAUCACCAAAGUUAAGCAUCGUAGAGCCAGGUCAGUACUUAGAUGGGGGACAGCUUGGGAACACCUGGUACUGUAAG
rnacentral:rRNA from 1 species